UACGUAGGGUGCAAGCGUUGUCCGGAAUUAUUGGGCGUAAAGAGCGUGUAGGCGGCCCGGUAAGUCCGCUGUGAAAGUCGGGGGCUCAACCCUCGAAUGCCGGUGGAUACUGUCGGGCUCGAGUGCGGAAGAGGCGAGUGGAAUUCCUGGUGUAGCGGUGAAAUGCGCAGAUAUCAGGAGGAACACCAAUUGCGAAGGCAGCUCGCUGGGACGUUACUGACGCUGAGACGCGAAAGCGUGGGGAGCAAACAGG
rnacentral:rRNA from 1 species